rnacentral:rRNA from 1 species
CGGUUGAUCCUGCCGGAGGUCACUGCUAUUGGGAUUCGGNUAAGCCAUGCAAGCGGAGGGCGCGGUCGAAAGAUCGUGGCCCCGCACACUGCUCAGUAACACGUAGUCAACCUACCCUUGGGACGGGGACAACCUCGGGAAACUGAGGCUAAUCCCCGAUAGGUGAGGGACGCUGGGAUGCCUCCUCGCCCAAAGCUCUGGCGCCCAAGGAUGGGACUGCGGUCUAUCAGGCUGUUGGUGGUGUAACGGACCACCAAACCUACGACGGGUACGGGCGAUGGGAGUCGGAGCCCGGAGAUGGGGACUGAGACAAGGCCCCAGGCCCUACGGGGCGCAGCAGGCGCGAAAACUCCGCAAUGCGCGCAAGCGUGACGGGGGAAUCCCAAGUGCCGUUGGUCUUUUGAUCGACGGUUUUUAGGAAGUCUAAGAAGCUUCCAGAAUAAGGGCUGGGCAAGACUGGUGCCAGCCGCCGCGGUAACACCGGCAGCCCAAGUGGUGGCCACGAUUAUUGGGCCUAAAGCGCUCGUAGCCGGAUCAUCAAGUCCCUUGUGAAUCGGGCCGCCUAACGGUUCGGCGUGCAAGGGAUACUGUUGGUCUUGAGGCCGGGAGAGGUCGGAGGUACUCCUGGGGUAGCGGUGAAAUGCUCUAAUCCUAGGGGGACCACCAGUGGCGAAGGCGUCCGACCAGAACGGACCUGACGGUGAGGGGCGAAGGCUAGGGGAGCGAACGGGAUUAGAUACCCCGGUAGUCCUAGCUGUAAAGCAUGCGGGCCAGGUGUCUAGCGCUCCUUGAGGGCGCUAGGUGCCGGAGGGAAGCCGUUAAGCCCGCCGCCUGGGAAGUACGGCCGCAAGGCUGAAACUUAAAGGAAUUGGCGGGGGAGCAC